GGUCCCGAGUGCGGGAGUAUCCCCCGCCUGCCCGCGGGGCCGCGGCGCGGGAUAGCCCCGGGUGAGGGGCCGGGGCCGCAGCAGCGUUCCCCACUCCUCUCCCCGCCCGAAGCGGCGCGGCAGGAGUCUCCCGGCCGGGGGCGGUGGUUGCGGGGAGAGGACCGAGGCUGGAAAGGUGCGUGCUCGGAUUGCCGGAGCACCGGUCUCGACCCGUGCGUACCGACAUGAAGCUGCCAUUUGUGACCAGCGUAUGAUUUAUUCCGCUGAUCUAUUCUGCUGCCAUUGGACACUGUGAAUACAGAGCACAUCAAGAAUUGCGUAAAACCUGACUACAAAGUUAUGCAGCUUCUCAGGUGGUAAAAAAAUGGGAAGGAGAAAGCAAGGAAAUGAUCAUUACAGUUUAAACUACAAAGAAGAUAGAAGGAAUGUCAGCAGGGUUGGGAUGGAGCUAAUGUCAUAUGUGGAACCAACUAGUGCAUCCAAAACAUUUUUGCAACACUGAUGAAUACCCUGGCUAUGUGAAGAUUACAGUACAGAGGGAAGUUCCUAUGAGGGUAAAUUGAAGAAGACUGUAUGCUGGGAAAGAAGCUCCAUCAGAGAAAAGUUGCCUGGGGUAGGUGAAAUGCAUAAGCAGAAAGUGAUGUACUGAAAAGCUGUAGUUAAAGUCAGCAGUGGAAUAUUUUUGAAAUGGUGUUUAAAGUUUUUCUCAUGCAGCAAUAGGUCACCCAAAUUGAAAGAAAGGCUUCUGAGGUCUGGUGCUGGGGAUAAAGUGGUGAGAGAAUUUCACCAAGCUGGAAAAUUCUUGUGACAUCUUUCAGGGCCAUUAAGAAUUUGAGAAUUUGAAAUAUUCUCAAUGCUGUUGUUUGGCUGAAAAAUUCACUGCAGAAAAAAAAGAAAAUCAGCCUACAACACUGUUCCAUUCCACUGAAAUGUCUCUGGUUUUGCUAUUGUUUGCUUAAUGUGUAGAUGUGUUGUAGAGUAACCAUUACUUCAAUUAUAAGACAUAAUAGAAUGUCACUAAUAGAGUUCUUAAUGACAUUUUUAUGUUAGUAUUUAGAAUACUAGAAUAAAGAAGAAUACUUUUACAGUUACUUUCUGGACAUCAGACUAAAUUACAAUAAGAAAAUAACUAAUUAAAGCUGUUGGUCUGUUGAUUUUGCUGUGCAUUUUUCUAUUAGUUUUCCUCAUUGAGUUCUGGCCCAGAUCUUCUCUUUCACAGAUUACCAGUCUGAAACAAGCAUCUGCUUGGGAAGGGUAAGAAGAAGAAGCUAGAUAGCAAAAAGGAGGAAGAAAUUUAAAUGCACCCAGUGAUUUAAGGCACUAAACUGCCUUAGUCCAUAUUCACAAUUCUUUAAAUCUAUGAAAACCUGUUUUACAGAUUCUUUGAGUAGUUGGAGGUGUGUUUCCUCUGGCUGUCCAGCACUGAGCACAUUGACACUGAGCUCAGGGCUGAACUUGCUUGUGAUGGUGGUUUUGAUCCAGAAGUAAGAAGGUUUUCAUGCAAAAACUUUUAAAUAUUCAGUCAAGAGGAGAGAAAAAUUUAGUAUACCCUAGUAACAGCCUGGGUGAUUGACACAUUAUAUAGAUAUUCUCCAAUUAGUGCUGAAUAUUAUAUGCAGACAUUGUCUGGAAUUGUCUGGGACUUCUCAACCCACAGCAGAACAUCCUAGACACUUGGAUACAAAAACAUCUGGUCCAAAAUACUUUUAACUCUACAUUAUUUGGAAAAAUAAAGAAUACGUCUUUUCAGAAACUGUAUUGAGAAUCCUAUUAGAGAAUUUUGUUUUAUUUUCCUCUGUUCCAUCUUUUGAAGUUGUAUAAUAUUUAGUCUAAUAUUCAGCUUUUAUGGCACAUCUUUUUUGAAUUACUUACUGUUGGAUCUCAGAAUAUAAUAUCUGCAGAGAGAGAUUUGAGUGGUCUUUGCAAAAAGCUGUGGGCUACAGAAGGUGGGAAAAACCCUCUUCAUGGACCUCAUCCCUGUGGAUUUUUCCUGCCUUCUCCAGCAGGAUGUGAAGAGACUCUUUGCAUGAUGGUAUCACAUGCCCUGCCCAAACCAGAGAGUCCGCACCUUGAUCUUAUCAAACCUAUGCAGAAGACCUUUUGUGGUUUAUCUCUCCCUUUGUGUUCCCUGAAUCCUUGCAUUCUGUAAACCCGAAUACCUUUUUUCCUUUGUAAUUCCCCCAAGAUAAAAUGGGUUUUCCCCUAUGAUGUAUGUGCAAGACCCCAAAUUUGUUAAUCUGGGUUUUCCCCUUAUGUCAUCCCCUGAACCCCCCUUUGUAAUAAUUGUAAUAGUUAC